AGUCACUCCCCAACCCCCUGUGACAUACCACUUGUUGCCUCGGCGGAUCAGCCCGCUCCCGGUAAAACGGGACGGCCCGCCAGAGGACCCCUAAACUCUGUUUCUAUAUGUAACUUCUGAGUAAAACCAUAAAUAAAUCAAAACUUUCAACAACGGAUCUCUUGGUUCUGGCAUCGAUGAAGAACGCAGCAAAAUGCGAUAAGUAAUGUGAAUUGCAGAAUUCAGUGAAUCAUCGAAUCUUUGAACGCACAUUGCGCCCGCCAGUAUUCUGGCGGGCAUGCCUGUUCGAGCGUCAUUUCAACCCUCAAGCACAGCUUGGUGUUGGGACUCGCGUUAAUUCGCGUUCCCCAAAUUGAUUGGCGGUCACGUCGAGCUUCCAUAGCGUAGUAGUAAAACCCUCGUUACUGGUAAUCGUCGCGGCCACGCCGUUAAACCCCAACUUCUGAAUGUUGACCUCGGAUCAGGUAGGAAUACCCGCUGAACUUAAGCAUAUCAAUAAGCGAGGGAAAAAGAAAAUCCCU
rnacentral:rRNA from 1 species